GAGGCUGGCGUGGGGGAAACAAUGAAAAAAGGCAUGGCAGCCUGGGCACCAACACAGUGAACGCCGCCCCUGGGCACUUGCGAGUGAUCAUUUGCAUCUGAAUCAAAGUUCAUUUUUACAGCUUCUGCAAGUAUAAAGAAAAAGACAAAGCUAUACCUUUCCAUGUAGUAUUUCUUCAACUGAGACAUGAAUGAAAUUCUGAAGUCAGAAAUUUUCAUUGUCAUUUAUGGAAAAAAUGAAGGCGUUUCGUUUGAAGAAUUUGGUGGACUUUUCCGCCAGGUCCAUGGUUACUAUCUUAACCUGUCGCAUUAUGGAUACUCCUCACUGAGGGAGUUAUUAAAGGACAUGAAUGAUUUGGUCGUGGUAAAGACUAUAAAUGGGCAGCCUAUGAUGAGAUGUAAAUCACCCUCAAGACAUCAUGUAGUGGUUUCAUAUGGGAACAAUUCGCCUCAAGCAGAGGAGCAGAUCUCAGAUGUUUCAAAUAUUCCUUUACCUUCAUCUGGACAUUCUUCAGGUCCUGAUGUAAGCAAAAGUGCGCAAAGCCAACCUACAUCUCUCCAACAGAACCAUCUAAAGGUAAGCACCGCACCUGAGAAGCAAGCUGUUAAGAGUACUGUAUGAG